CUGUUAUUUGAAAGGAGAAAAGGUUAAUUUUCCCUUGAUGCAUGGAAGAGGCCUUCAGGCCUGACAGUUAAGACACUGCCAUCUACUUUGUGACAUCUAAAUAUGGUUAACAAAUAAUUUU